rnacentral:rRNA from 1 species
GACGAACGCUGGCGGUGUGCUUAACACAUGCAAGUCGAGCGACUGCAUUCUUUUCGGAGGGUGUAUGGAGCGGCGAACGGGUGAGUAACACGUGAGUAAUCUGCCUUUGGCUUGGGAAUAACUUCGGGAAAUCGGGGCUAAUGCCUGAUGUUUACUGUCUGCUGCAUGGUGGGUGGUGGAAAGUAUUUUUUGGCCAGGGAUGAGCUCGCGGUCUAUCAGCUUGNGGUGGGGU